UGUAAUGGAGGGGGCGAGGGAGAAGCACGAAGAAGUCACCAAGUCAUUCCCCCUAUGGAAGCGGCGGGGGAAGGCGUCUUCAUCACCGGGCAGGCCUCUGCUGGAGCAGGGAAGAAGACGGGCUGGGCCCGGACAGGCCCUCCAUGUGCCCGGUGGGGGAGGUCAUCCCAGAGGACAGCUCCGGCCAUUGCUGGCCUCGUCCCUGAUGACCUCCGUGACAAGAUGGUCAGUACUUCACAAGUGAAGGUGUCCGCGAAGAAUCCGGGUUUGGUCUGUAAAAGACCUACAUGAGAGCCGGUCUCCAGACCACCGGAAAUGCUCAUGUCUGGCUGAGGUAGUAGUUUGUGUAGUUAGGGGGCAGUGGUGUUUGCCCAUGGAGAUAACUAGACAAACUACUGCCUUGCCAGAUGUGGGAAGAUUCUUCAGGACAACUUCUACAGGCUUCUGUCCUCCUUGAAGAUCUAGGCACAUUGCAGCUGAAUCGUCGGGAUUUCACUGAAGUCAUAGUAUUGUUGCCUCCACUUUUUUCUCACCAGGUGAAGUGUAAUAAAGUAAGGGCUCUUUCACACUUGCGUUGUCCGGAUCCGGCGUGUACUCCACUUGCCGGAAUUACACACAGGAUCCGGAAAAACGCAAGUGUACUGAAAGCAUUUGAAGACGGAUCCGUCUUC